AGGUGGUGCGCUAACCCGCAAGGGAGGCAGCCAACCACGGUAAGGUCAGCGACUGGGGUGAAGUCGUAACAAGGUAGCCGUAGGGGAACCUGCGGCUGGAUCACCUCCUUUCUAAGG
rnacentral:rRNA from 1 species